CAUGAUGAGACUGUCACUAAUGAUCAAAUUGCUGCUGAUCUUAAAGAGCAUGUUAUCAAGCCUGUCAUUCCUGAGAAGUACCUAGAUGAGAAGACCAUCUUUCACCUUAACCCUUCUGGCCGAUUUGUCAUCGGUGGACCUCAUGGUGAUGCUGGUCUCACCGGAAGAAAGAUUAUCAUCGACACUUAUGGUGGCUGGGGUGCUCACGGAGGCGGUGCAUUCUUCUUUAUAUAUUGACUACAUCAUUAGUUUAAAUUCCUUAUAUUUUAAGAGUGAUUGAGUGAAUAAUGAUUAUAGGAAGAAAGACGUAAUAAGCAUCUUUAUCCAGUCAGGGUUGGUGAGUGACCUGCAGUAUCCGGUAUCUCAAAUUUCAUCUCUCACCAACCUCAACAAAUCCCAUUCCUUCAUUUUGGCCGUUAAAUCUAACGGCCAACCACUUCUCCCGGUAACCCCUCAUGUAAGGUGCGUGGCAUUCAUCAAUCUAUGUAUUGAUAGUGUAAUAUGGUAUUAUAGAUUAUUCAUUUUUAAUAUUUAUUAAUGAAUAUUAAAUAAAAUUAUUAUAUAUGAAUAAUGAAUGAUAUAUUAAUUAUGUAUCAUGGUGUUUGUAUCACAUAUUCAUAAAUUUUCUCUCCACUAAAAAGUUUGAUUCAUGUAAACGAUAUUUAUUGGGAAAAACAUAUAGAAUCCUGAAAGAAAUUAAUUACUUACCAUAAAGGUGAUGAUGAAAGGAUACUUUUGGUUAUCUUUGAUUAAAUAUUUAUACAUUAUAAUUCAUUACUAUUAUUAAAUGUAAUAACUAUUUUAAUAUCUAUUAAUUAUUAUAAAUUAUAUAAAUAUAAAAGUGAAGUCGUAAAUUCUUACCCACCCCAUUAGCAUCCCUAUAAAUAAGUGUCCUUAACUAGCAUCAGUCAUUCCAAAUUCUCAGCGAGUGUUGUACACGCGCUCUCGUUUCAACCUCUUUUACUCACUCGCUCCAGGUUCGUAAACCUUCUCGUUCCAUUUUCCUUCUUUGUCUUCUUUUCAAGUAUUUAAAAUUGGAACAUUGUUAUAGAUCUGAAUUUAAUUUAUACCGUUUUUGAGUUUCUGGAUCUGUUAAAGGUUUUUAAGUUUUCAAUUCGUUUUUUUUUGUUUCUAUUUAGAUCUGAUGCUGUUCAUGUAUUAUGAUUUUUCACUAGUGAUUUUAGUUUUGUUGAGGCUGAUUUAGUUGGAUUAGGAUCAUGGGGUCCAAGAUUAGAUUAUUUUCAAUUUGGAACUCAAGAGUUUUGAAAUGGUAUUUGGGAAAGAUUAUUUUUUUAUGCAUAAACUAUUUGUUUGAGUGUUUGGGGUUUUUUUGGUACUACCAACUAUCUAUCACCUUUUGGCUAAGGAACUAUGUGUGUGACCCUCCCAACAAGUGUCGCUGUCAUUAAUCGAAUUUUGACCUUUUGGUCAUCGUGGUAUCUAGCAGCGCCUUACAUUACUCGACCAAGACUGUGUGUAGUGUUUGGGGUUUAAUUAAACUUGCUUAAAAUAUACUACCUGUAUCCCUUUUUAUCUUUCCAUUUGAAGAUUUUUUUUAUCCUAUUUAUUAUCUAUUCAAUUUAGAAUUGUGCAUUAAUUGAUAUUACUAUAUUUAUUGGUGGAAACGUUAAUGGCUACAAAGAUAGAAAUGGUAUAUUAGAAAAAACUAUAUCAUAAUUGUCAUCUAAAUCACCACAAUUGUUUUUGUUUUUAUUUUUUUAAAAUGUGUGUUUUGAAAUGAGACAAAUAAAUAGAACCUAUAAAAAAGGUUUUUUUGUACGUGGAAGAUGAUUCUUGAAGAAGCUGGAUUAUGAAAAUUGAGCAGUAAUUCAAAAACGUUGUUUGAUUAUUUGAAACCUUUUCCCCAUUUCACAAGAAACUACCGAAUAUUAUUUAUCUAUCUAAAUAACUUUUCAUACUAUUUUUGGUUAUUUAGUGUAUGAAGUGAUUUUUUUAGACAACCAAUCAUUUUCAGCAAAACAUCACAUAAGUAUAAUAAAUUGAUUCCAUUAUAAUUGAUUAUGACAAUAAUCAAUUAUUGAAAUAAUUUAUUUUUCAUAGAUAGUUAGUCCAGAGACUCAUUGUGCUUGCUCCCAUGUCUCUUGAAUUUCAAUAUUAGAUUCUGUCCACCUUUAUAUCUUGUGCCCAGGGAAGGGAAUCUAGAUUAUAGUGUAUACUUUAUCUUGUCAUAGUCAGAACCAAAAACUUUUAAAAAGAAAAGUUAAGCUAUUAUCUUGGCAUGAGGUUCCAACUCUUUCUUUCAACUUGUAUUUUAAAAAGCAAUGAUAUGCUUCUGCAUUAUUCCUUUGUAACUACGGAUGAGACUGAGUAAUGAGUAAGCUUGUUUUUCCCAAGAUUUAAUUAUGCAUUUGGUUUUCAAGCUUUUGUAACUACUGAUGUUAAGUAAUACUAAACAUUUUGUUUGUUGUUUUUGUAUAGCUUGAGAAAUGGCAGCAGAGACCUUUCUAUUCACUUCUGAAUCUGUCAAUGAGGGUCACCCUGACAAGCUGUGUGAUCAGAUAUCCGAUGCAGUUCUUGAUGCCUGCCUUGAACAGGAUCCUGACAGCAAGGUUGCCUGUGAGACAUGCACCAAGACUAACAUGGUCAUGGUCUUUGGAGAGAUUACAACCAAGGCCAAUGUUGACUACGAGAAGAUUGUUCGAGACACGUGCCGCAACAUUGGAUUCAUCUCUGAUGAUGUAGGUCUUGAUGCUGACAAGUGCAAGGUUUUGGUCAACAUUGAGCAGCAGAGCCCUGAUAUUGCUCAGGGUGUGCAUGGCCACUUCACUAAGCAACCAGAGGAGGUUGGUGCUGGUGAUCAGGGUCACAUGUUUGGGUAUGCCACUGAUGAAACCCCCGAGUUAAUGCCAUUGAGCCACGUUCUUGCAACCAAAUUAGGAGCUAAGCUUACCGAUGUUAGGAAGAAUGGCACCUGCCCAUGGCUGAGACCAGAUGGUAAGACACAAGUAACUGUUGAGUACUACAAUGAAAAUGGUGCCAUGGUUCCCAUUCGAGUCCACACUGUCCUCAUUUCUACCCAGCAUGAUGAGACUGUCACUAAUGAUCAAAUUGCUGCUGAUCUUAAAGAGCAUGUUAUCAAGCCUGUCAUUCCUGAGAAGUACCUAGAUGAGAAGACCAUCUUUCACCUUAACCCUUCUGGCCGAUUUGUCAUCGGUGGACCUCAUGGUGAUGCUGGUCUCACCGGAAGAAAGAUUAUCAUCGACACUUAUGGUGGCUGGGGUGCUCACGGAGGCGGUGCAUUCUCCGGG
rnacentral:lncRNA from 1 species